GAAAGCCUGUUUUUUUGCGGCGAUCCAUGUCUCCGUCUUCAGGUCGAAUGCUAGGAAGUCUUCUCCAUCAUAA